AAAGCGUGCGCAGGCGGCUUUGCAAGACAGAUGUGAAAUCCCCGGGCUCAACCUGGGAACUGCAUUUGUGACUGCAAGGCUAGAGUACGGUAGAGGGGGAUGGAAUUCCGCGUGUAGCAGUGAAAUGCGUAGAUAUGCGGAGGAACACCAAUGGCGAAGGCAAUCCCCUGGACCUGUACUGACGCUCAUGCACGAAAGCGUGGGGAGCAAACAGGAUUAGAUACCCGAGU
rnacentral:rRNA from 1 species